CUCCUUCGGUCCCUCUCCUCCUCCUCCUCCUCCUCCUCCUCCUCCCCUUCUUGAUUCUGUGUAUUUUUUUUUUACUUCGCUUCCGCCUUCUUGUCUGAAGGCAAGCACCGUCCCCUCCAGGAAUCCGCGUGUUCGGUCCAAAGUCAGUUCGCCUCUCACCGGAGGUGCUCCUCACACUCUUUGCACUUCGCCAGCCACAUUCACUCCGUCCUCGAGGUGAGGUGACCAGGUAGAAGCCAUCAAUGAGGCCAACGAAAAAUUCUUCCAGGCCCUUUGGAACACUCGUGAGCUGAGAGACUGGCAGGGAGCGUUUUGGCCUCGACCAGGACACCCAGGUUGAAUGAGUCAAAUCGCCCGGGCCUGUAACAUUCUUUUUCUCGCACACUGUGGGUCCGUAAAAAAACAAUGAAUUCCUUCAAACUCAUGCUAUUCCUUGUUGAUUUGACUGCAGAAUUGCAGAACUAACGAAUACUGCAUUCACCAUGCCUUUGUUAGAUUCAAGGUCCCAAUUGAAGGGAGGUCUUAUUGUUACUCACAACAAAAACGAGUCCAUCCAUUGAAAACUAUCCAGCAGACUAAAUGAAUGGAUGGUCGAUAGGACAACAUAUGAUGCUGUAUCUCAAAUAAUUCCUUGAAACAUCUAAUUAAUCAUGCAUGUGGUCACUUUCAGUUGGAGAAUUCUGCAUGACCUUGCUGUGCAAUUCGGCCUGGCAGGCCCACCUCAUCCCCCGGGUAAGUCCACAACCACGACCAAAAAAAUGACUGGAGGGAGAUGUGGAGGAAGCCACAGUGGUACUAUGUAUAUAACAUAUUGAGCAAGGGAGAGCGAGAGAGGAAGAUUGAGAGGAAUGAAGGCAAAGAAUAGAACCAGAGUUGACCGAUGGAUUUUGAUGUCUAAGCAAUCGCAUUUGUUUCUGUUGGAAGCUUCCGAGUUGUGGCGGACAAAAGUGAUGAGUGGGCAAACUUCUAACAACCUCAACAAACUCUCGAGUCUAUGUACAGUAGUGUGUGACGAGUUUCCGAGAGCAACUCUAAAGACAUCGUGAAGACCUGGCCAGGCGAGAGAUGAAGGUGAUAGCAUCACAUCUGAUAAGACAUCGAGAGGGGAUCUGAAGCCAUGCUCGAUUGGACCUUUUCAGGGGCCGUGUAUUCAUAAUAGUUUUCGAUCAAACAAUGUUUACCAUCGACCAUGACGAGUAGGAAUGAA